GGAAGGAAAAGCCGCAAUAUUUUCUUUACCGUAGCUGCAUGGGUCCCACCACCAUCAAACUCCAUCUCUCUCUCAAACUGCCAUGUUUUUUGGUUUUCCGCUUUCACCUUCUAUUCUCCGACCCCAACACCCACUGAUUGGAGUAACUGCCUUUGGUGGGUGAAAUGCAAGCUGUGGAGAGGCUAGGGAGCUUUAUCACCCGCGGAGUUUCGACUGUUUCAAUGCCGUUCAUCCCUUAUGGUGGUGCUGUGGACAUUGUUGUAGUUCAACAAAAAGAUGGCAGCUUCAAGUCCUCUCCUUGGUUCGUUCGAUUCGGGAAACUUCACAGGGUUCUCAAGGCUGAUGAGAAGAAGGUUAGCAUCAGUGUCAAUGGAUCCGAAGCCGGUUUCCACAUGCACAUGAACCAUAAAGGGGAAGCCUUCUUUUUGAGGGAUACACAUUGUGAACAACAAGGGGAUGAAGAUUCCGGAUCUAGCGAAUCAUCAUCGUCCGGCGAAGAUGCUGAUGUUGUCCUACCAUGGGGCAGGAAGAGGAAUUUCAAGUCAAAAAGUUGCAAGUUUGAUCCGGAUGGAUCAUUUGUAGCUGAUAUGAAUGCCUUAAACAAUGAUAAGAUUGUGGACAGGACUAAUUCUCGCGGAUCCCGGCUAUUUAGGCUUGUGUUGGGGCAAAGGUCCUUCAAUGGGGAAGUUGAUGAAGAUGCAGAAGACUUAUUGGAACGUGCUGAGAUUGCAGCCAACCUUUUGGACCUCAAGUGGUCUACGAAUCUGAAAUUCGACCAGCUACCUCGUCGAGAAAGAAAGAACACUAGGGGUGGUACCUUGGAGAAUGGUUUACAUUCAUCAAAGGUUGAUGAUUUGCAUGCUCAGCAAAGGGAUUGUUCUCAUAGUGUCCUUGAUAUGUUUGAUGUUGCGGACUUUGAAAAGCUACCUAAAUUUCAAAAAUCUCGCACCAUUAGUGUAUAUCGGCCACAUCGAAAAGCCAACAAGGUUAGGGCAGAUACCCCAACAUCUGAACAGCUAGCAUCCUUGAAUCUGCAGGAAGGAAGGAACUUGGUAACCUUUCGUUAUUCUACAGCUAUGUUGGGGACACAGAAGAUUGAUGCUCGGAUAUAUUUGUGGAAAUGGAACACCCGAAUAGUGAUAUCGGAUGUGGAUGGAACAAUUACAAGGUCUGAUGUUCUAGGUCAGGUCAUGCCUUUAGUCGGAAUCGAUUGGUCACAAACCGGUGUUGCACAUUUAUUCUCUGCUAUCCAGGAUAAUGGAUACCAACUACUUUUUCUUAGUGCUCGUGCAAUUUCUCAAGCCUGUCAUACCAGACGAUUCCUAUUCAACCUUAAACAGGAUGGGAAAGUAUUACCGGAUGGUCCGGUCGUCAUUUCCCCGGACGGACUUUUUCCUGCUCUGUAUCGAGAAGUUAUCCGGCGAGCUCCUCAUGAAUUCAAAAUCGCAUGCUUAGAGGAAAUAAGGGCACUUUUCCCUCCUGAUUGCAAUCCAUUCUAUGCUGGUUUCGGAAAUAGGGAUACUGAUGAACUCAGCUACCUUAAGGUUGGAAUCCCUAAAGGAAAAAUCUUCAUAAUCAAUCCCAGGGGAGAGAUUGCUGUAAAUUGUUUCGACGCGCAAUCAUAUCCUUCUCUUCAUGCCGUUGUAGAUGGAAUAUUCCCCCCGACAGACUCGUCUGAGCAGGAGGAUUUCAAUUCAUGGAACUGUUUGCGGUUGCCCUCGGUGUCAUAAAUAUUAGCAGAAUUAAAUCUCUGUCUAGUUGUGGCUGUGCUGCUUCAGGAAUUGUACAGGUGAAUCUGUAGCUAUGGCCAAUGACCACAGCAUUGUAAAGAUAUAUGGAUUGAAUUGUUGGCACUUAUCAACACUCCAUGGAUGGGAGAUUUGUGAAGAAGAGAGGAGGAAGUGUCUUCUAACCAAUAAGUUGUUCUAACCAAUGUCACUAUCAAGCACAGCAUAUAGUAUUAGAAGGGGGAAACAAUAGUGAGAAGAGAGGAAGAAGUGUCUUUUGUUUCUUCUAUAUUGUACUAUGCUCCACUUUAUUGUGUUGAGCUAUUGUUUUCGGGAAAAAAAGAGAGAGAAAAUCAGAGGAAGUGUUUUAACACCUGUUUUCUAAUUUGUGUUUUUGACAUAAUUUUUUUUUUCUUUUUUGUUAUGUAAAUCAACAUUUAUAUGUAUCAUUUAUGAAAGU